AUAAAUCUGGCUGUCGUGAUGCCUAAAAAGCAUUGCAUAGCAAGGGCCGGGCAAGACCGGUGCCAGCCGCCGCGGUAACACCGGCGGCUCGAGUGGUAACCGUUAUUAUUGGGUCUAAAGGGUCUGUAGCCGGCCGGAUAAGUCUCUUGGGAAAUCCAGCAGCUCAACUGUUGGGCUUCCAGGAGAUACUGUCUGGCUCGAGGCCGGGAGAGGUGAGAGGUACUUCAGGGGUAGGGGUGAAAUCUUGUAAUCCUUGAAGGACCACCAGUGGCGAAGGCGUCUCACCAGAACGGACCUGACGGCAAGGGACGAAAGCUAGGGGCACGAACCGGAUUAGAUACCCGGGUAGUCCUAGCCGUAAACGAUACUCGCUAGGUGUCGGCCACGGUGCGACCGUGGUCGGUGCCGUAGGGAAGCCGUGAAGCGAGCCACCUGGGAAGUACGGCCGCAAGGCUGAAACUUAAAGGAAUUGGCGGGGGAGCAC
rnacentral:rRNA from 1 species